rnacentral:rRNA from 1 species
UGCCAGCAGCCGCGGUAAUACGGAGGGGGUUAGCGUUGUUCGGAAUUACUGGGCGUAAAGCGCACGUAGGCGGAUCAGAAAGUAAGGGGUGAAAUCCCAGGGCUCAACCCUGGAACUGCCUUUCAUACUGGCGAUCUUGAGUUCGAGAGAGGUGAGUGGAAUUCCGAGUGUAGAGGUGAAAUUCGUAGAUAUUCGGAGGAACACCAGUGGCGAAGGCGGCUCACUGGCUCGAUACUGACGCUGAGGUGCGAAAGCGUGGGGAGCAAACAGGAUUAGAUA